rnacentral:snRNA from 1 species
UCCGUCCAAGGCUAAAUACG